rnacentral:rRNA from 1 species
AGAGUUUGAUCCUGGCUCAGAUUCGAACGCUGGCGGCAGGCCUAACACAUGCAAGUCGAGCGGAUGAAGAGAGCUUGCUCUCUGAUUCAGCGGCGGACGGGUGAGUAAUGCCUAGGAAUCUGCCUGAUAGUGGGGGACAACGUUUCGAAAGGAACGCUAAUACCGCAUACGUCCUACGGGAGAAAGCAGGGGACCUUCGGGCCUUGCGCUAUCAGAUGAGCCUAGGUCGGAUUAGCUAGUUGGUGAGGUAAUGGCUCACCAAGGCGACGAUCCGUAACUGGUCUGAGAGGAUGAUCAGUCACACUGGAACUGAGACACGGUCCAGACUCCUACGGGAGGCAGCAGUGGGGAAUAUUGGACAAUGGGCGAAAGCCUGAUCCAGCCAUGCCGCGUGUGUGAAGAAGGUCUUCGGAUUGUAAAGCACUUUAAGUUGGGAGGAAGGGCAUUAACCUAAUACGUUAGUGUUUUGACGUUACCGACAGAAUAAGCACCGGCUAACUUCGUGCCAGCAGCCGCGGUAAUACGAAGGGUGCAAGCGUUAAUCGGAAUUACUGGGCGUAAAGCGCGCGUAGGUGGUUUGUUAAGUUGGAUGUGAAAGCCCCGGGCUCAACCUGGGAACUGCAUCCAAAACUGGCAAGCUAGAGUAUGGCAGAGGGUGGUGGAAUUUCCUGUGUAGCGGUGAAAUGCGUAAUAUAGGAAGGAACACCAGUGGCGAAGGCGACCACCUGGGGCUAAUACUUGACACUGAGGUGCGAAAGCGUGGGGAGCAAAACAGGAUUAAUACCCUGGUAUCCAACCGCCGUAAACGAUGUUCGACUAGCCGUUGGGAUCCUUGAGAUCUUAGUGGCGCAGCUAACGCAUUAAGUCGACCGCCUGGGGAGUACGGCCGCAAGGUUAAAACUCAAAUGAAUUGACGGGGGCCCGCACAAGCGGUGGAGCAUGUGGUUUAAUUCGAAGCAACGCGAAGAACCUUACCAGGCCUUGACAUGCAGAGAACUUUCCAGAGAUGGAUUGGUGCCUUCGGGAACUCUGACACAGGUGCUGCAUGGCUGUCGUCAGCUCGUGUCGUGAGAUGUUGGGUUAAGUCCCGUAACGAGCGCAACCCUUGUCCUUAGUUACCAGCACGUUAUGGUGGGCACUCUAAGGAGACUGCCGGUGACAAACCGGAGGAAGGUGGGGAUGACGUCAAGUCAUCAUGGCCCUUACGGCCUGGGCUACACACGUGCUACAAUGGUCGGUACAAAGGGUUACCAAGCCGCGAGGUGGAGCUAAUCCCAUAAAACCGAUCGUAGUCCGGAUCGCAGUCUGCAACUCGGCUGCGUGAAGUCGGAAUCGCUAGUAAUCGUGAAUCAGAAUGUCACGGUGAAUACGUUCCCGGGCCUUGUACACACCGCCCGUCACACCAUGGGAGUGGGUUGCUCCAGAAGUAGCUAGUCUAACCUUCGGGAGGCCGGUUACCACGGAGUGAUUCAUGACUGGGGUGAAGUCGUAACAAGGUAGCCGUAGGGGAACCUGCGGCUGGAUCACCUCCUUA